GUAGCUCAGUGGUACAGCACUUGCCUGGAAAGCACAAGGCCCUGGGUUCAAUUCCUGGUACA
rnacentral:tRNA from 1 species